AGAGUUUGAUCCUGGCUCAGAUUGAACGCUGGCGGCAGGCCUAACACAUGCAAGUCGAACGGUAACAGGAAGCAGCUUGCUGUUUUGCUGACGAGUGGCGGACGGGUGAGUAAUGUCUGGGAAACUGCCUGAUGGAGGGGGAUAACUACUGGAAACGGUAGCUAAUACCGCAUAACGUCGCAAGACCAAAGAGGGGGACCUUCGGGCCUCUUGCCAUCGGAUGUGCCCAGAUGGGAUUAGCUAGUAGGUGGGGUAACGGCUCACCUAGGCGACGAUCCCUAGCUGGUCUGAGAGGAUGACCAGCCACACUGGAACUGAGACACGGUCCAGACUCCUACGGGAGGCAGCAGUGGGGAAUAUUGCACAAUGGGCGCAAGCCUGAUGCAGCCAUGCCGCGUGUAUGAAGAAGGCCUUCGGGUUGUAAAGUACUUUCAGCGGGGAGGAAGGGAGUAAAGUUAAUACCUUUGCUCAUUGACGUACCCGCAGAAGAAGCCCC
rnacentral:rRNA from 1 species